CAAUAGCGUAUAUUAAAGUUGUUGCAGUUAAAAAGCUCGUAGUUGGAUUUCGGGGCAGCCUGGCUGGUCCGCCGCAAGGCGAGUACUGGUCAGCCGCCCUUCCUCUCGAGAGCCCCGACUGCCCUUCGUUGCAGUGGUCGGGUAGUUCGGGACGUUUACUUUGAAAAAAUUAGAGUGUUCAAGGCAGGCCUACGCCUGAAUACAUUAGCAUGGAAUAAUGGAAGAGGACCUCGGUCCUAUUUUGUUGGUUUCCAGGGCCGAAGUAAUGAUUAAGAGGGACAGUUGGGGGCAUUCGUAUUUAAUUGUCAGAGGUGAAAUUCUCGGAUUUAUGAAAGACGAACAACUGCGAAAGCAUUUGCCAAGGAUGUUUUCAUUAA
rnacentral:rRNA from 1 species